rnacentral:ncRNA from 1 species
AGCACUAUUACUAGUGGGACUGGACUAUAUCUUAAGCAAAAUUUAAUUUGCCCACAUUCAUAUAGUCUCUGAACCCUUCUCUAAUGAGAUUGGCUGCGAAUUUUCCCUUUCAUCAAAUUUUAACUAACUUUUGAGUAUUGAUGAAUUUAAUUUUCCUUAUUUUGAGGAAAUUUUUGGGAUGUUCCCGCAAUUUGAAUAUGUCGUUUUUAAAUUUAAAAACUUGCCAAUAAUUUCUAAUUGACAAAGGCAU